rnacentral:rRNA from 1 species
UACGUAGGGUGCGAGCGUUGUCCGGAAUUAUUGGGCGUAAAGGGCUCGUAGGCGGUUUGUCGCGUCGGGAGUGAAAACACCGGGCUUAACUCGGUGCUUGCUUUCGAUACGGGCAGACUAGAGGUAUGCAGGGGAGAACGGAAUUCCUGGUGUAGCGGUGAAAUGCGCAGAUAUCAGGAGGAACACCGGUGGCGAAGGCGGUUCUCUGGGCAUUAACUGACGCUGAGGAGCGAAAGCAUGGGGAGCGAACAGG